GACGAACCGUGCGAACGUUGUUCGGAAUCACUGGGCUUAAAGGGCGCGUAGGCGGGCUGCCAAGUCCGGGGUGAAAUCCUCCAGCUUAACUGGAGAACUGCCUCGGAUACUGGAAGUCUCGAGGAGGGUAGGGGCAAGUGGAACCGUGGGUGGAGCGGUGAAAUGCGUUGAUAUCCAUGGGAACUCCGGUGGCGAAGGCGACUUGCUGGACCCUUUCUGACGCUGAGGCUCGAAAGCCAGGGGAGCAAACGGG
rnacentral:rRNA from 1 species